UCGCUCGAAGGGCAAAGCUGCUGUAAGGCGGUGACGCAAAGCUUCCGGUCAACCGGCCAGCUCACAAUUGAGAUCUAAGUUGUGGGGUUAUUAGA
rnacentral:ncRNA from 1 species